UUAAGCGACUAAGCGUACACGGUGGAUGCCCUGGCAGUCAGAGGCGAUGAAGGACGUGCUAAUCUGCGAUAAGCGUCGGUAAGGUGAUAUGAACCGUUAUAACCGGCGAUUUCCGAAUGGGGAAACCCAGUGUGUUUCGACACACUAUCAUUAACUGAAUCCAUAGGUUAAUGAGGCGAACCGGGGGAACUGAAACAUCUAAGUACCCCGAGGAAAAGAAAUCAACCGAGAUUCCCCCAGUAGCGGCGAGCGAACGGGGAGCAGCCCAGAGCCUGAAUCAGUAUGUGUGUUAGUGGAAGCGUCUGGAAAGGCGCGCGAUACAGGGUGACAGCCCCGUACACAAAAAUGCACAUAUUGUGAGCUCGAUGAGUAGGGCGGGACACGUGGUAUCCUGUCUGAAUAUGGGGGGACCAUCCUCCAAGGCUAAAUACUCCUGACUGACCGAUAGUGAACCAGUACCGUGAGGGAAAGGCGAAAAGAACCCCGGCGAGGGGAGUGAAAAAGAACCUGAAACCGUGUACGUACAAGCAGUGGGAGCACGCUUAGGCGUGUGACUGCGUACCUUUUGUAUAAUGGGUCAGCGACUUAUAUUCUGUAGCAAGGUUAACCGAAUAGGGGAGCCGAAGGGAAACCGAGUCUUAACUGGGCGUUAAGUUGCAGGGUAUAGACCCGAAACCCGGUGAUCUAGCCAUGGGCAGGUUGAAGGUUGGGUAACACUAACUGGAGGACCGAACCGACUAAUGUUGAAAAAUUAGCGGAUGACUUGUGGCUGGGGGUGAAAGGCCAAUCAAACCGGGAGAUAGCUGGUUCUCCCCGAAAGCUAUUUAGGUAGCGCCUCGUGAAUUCAUCUCCGGGGGUAGAGCACUGUUUCGGCAAGGGGGUCAUCCCGACUUACCAACCCGAUGCAAACUGCGAAUACCGGAGAAUGUUAUCACGGGAGACACACGGCGGGUGCUAACGUCCGUCGUGAAGAGGGAAACAACCCAGACCGCCAGCUAAGGUCCCAAAGUCAUGGUUAAGUGGGAAACGAUGUGGGAAGGCCCAGACAGCCAGGAUGUUGGCUUAGAAGCAGCCAUCAUUUAAAGAAAGCGUAAUAGCUCACUGGUCGAGUCGGCCUGCGCGGAAGAUGUAACGGGGCUAAACCAUGCACCGAAGCUGCGGCAGCGACACUAUGUGUUGUUGGGUAGGGGAGCGUUCUGUAAGCCUGUGAAGGUGUGCUGUGAGGCAUGCUGGAGGUAUCAGAAGUGCGAAUGCUGACAUAAGUAACGAUAAAGCGGGUGAAAAGCCCGCUCGCCGGAAGACCAAGGGUUCCUGUCCAACGUUAAUCGGGGCAGGGUGAGUCGACCCCUAAGGCGAGGCCGAAAGGCGUAGUCGAUGGGAAACAGGUUAAUAUUCCUGUACUUGGUGUUACUGCGAAGGGGGGACGGAGAAGGCUAUGUUGGCCGGGCGACGGUUGUCCCGGUUUAAGCGUGUAGGCUGGUUUUCCAGGCAAAUCCGGAAAAUCAAGGCUGAGGCGUGAUGACGAGGCACUACGGUGCUGAAGCAACAAAUGCCCUGCUUCCAGGAAAAGCCUCUAAGCAUCAGGUAACAUCAAAUCGUACCCCAAACCGACACAGGUGGUCAGGUAGAGAAUACCAAGGCGCUUGAGAGAACUCGGGUGAAGGAACUAGGCAAAAUGGUGCCGUAACUUCGGGAGAAGGCACGCUGAUAUGUAGGUGAAGUCCCUCGCGGAUGGAGCUGAAAUCAGUCGAAGAUACCAGCUGGCUGCAACUGUUUAUUAAAAACACAGCACUGUGCAAACACGAAAGUGGACGUAUACGGUGUGACGCCUGCCCGGUGCCGGAAGGUUAAUUGAUGGGGUCAGCGCAAGCGAAGCUCUUGAUCGAAGCCCCGGUAAACGGCGGCCGUAACUAUAACGGUCCUAAGGUAGCGAAAUUCCUUGUCGGGUAAGUUCCGACCUGCACGAAUGGCGUAAUGAUGGCCAGGCUGUCUCCACCCGAGACUCAGUGAAAUUGAACUCGCUGUGAAGAUGCAGUGUACCCGCGGCAAGACGGAAAGACCCCGUGAACCUUUACUAUAGCUUGACACUGAACAUUGAGCCUUGAUGUGUAGGAUAGGUGGGAGGCUUUGAAGUGUGGACGCCAGUCUGCAUGGAGCCGACCUUGAAAUACCACCCUUUAAUGUUUGAUGUUCUAACGUUGACCCGUAAUCCGGGUUGCGGACAGUGUCUGGUGGGUAGUUUGACUGGGGCGGUCUCCUCCUAAAGAGUAACGGAGGAGCACGAAGGUUGGCUAAUCCUGGUCGGACAUCAGGAGGUUAGUGCAAUGGCAUAAGCCAGCUUGACUGCGAGCGUGACGGCGCGAGCAGGUGCGAAAGCAGGUCAUAGUGAUCCGGUGGUUCUGAAUGGAAGGGCCAUCGCUCAACGGAUAAAAGGUACUCCGGGGAUAACAGGCUGAUACCGCCCAAGAGUUCAUAUCGACGGCGGUGUUUGGCACCUCGAUGUCGGCUCAUCACAUCCUGGGGCUGAAGUAGGUCCCAAGGGUAUGGCUGUUCGCCAUUUAAAGUGGUACGCGAGCUGGGUUUAGAACGUCGUGAGACAGUUCGGUCCCUAUCUGCCGUGGGCGCUGGAGAACUGAGGGGGGCUGCUCCUAGUACGAGAGGACCGGAGUGGACGCAUCACUGGUGUUCGGGUUGUCAUGCCAAUGGCACUGCCCGGUAGCUAAAUGCGGAAGAGAUAAGUGCUGAAAGCAUCUAAGCACGAAACUUGCCCCGAGAUGAGUUCUCCCUGACUCCUUGAGAGUCCUGAAGGAACGUUGAAGACGACGACGUUGAUAGGCCGGGUGUGUAAGCGCAGCGAUGCGUUGAGCUAACCGGUACUAAUGAACCGUGAGGCUUAACCUU
rnacentral:rRNA from 1 species